GGUAUAGCUCAUUGGUAGAGCAUGUGCUUAGCAUGCACGAGGUCUUGGGUUCAUUUCCCAUGUGCC
rnacentral:tRNA from 1 species